GUACUUACCUGGACGGGGUCGACGAGCGAUCAAUAAGGCUCGUGGCCUAGAUCAAUGGCUCACAUUGUACUUGGUGAGUGCGUUGGUCUACCAUCUCCCCAAGCGGGAGGAUGGACGUCGUAAUUUGUGGUAGAGGGGGUACGUGUUCGCGCGGCCCUUG
rfam:Triticum urartu cultivar G1812 contig226179, whole genome shotgun sequence.